rnacentral:rRNA from 1 species
AUGUACCAGGCGAUCCCCUACAGCGCUGGCCGGCUGCCGGCAUGCCCACGGCGGUCCGAGCAGGCCGAGGCCGAGGGCACGGCAGCGGCGAGGGGCGACGGCGGGGAGGCGGGGAGGAGGGCGGUGGCAGAGAGCCUGGUGCUAGUGGUGGGGAGGCACGGGUGCUGCCUCAGCCACAUGGUGAAGCGGCUACUGCAGGGGCUCGGGGUGAACCCCGUCGUGCACGAGUUCGCCGACGAGGCCGAGCUCGCUGCUGCGGUGGCCGGGAACACUGGAGUCGCGCUGCCGGCGGUGUUCGUCAGUGGGAGGAUCCUCGGCGGGCUCGAUCGGCUCAUGGCCGUGCACAUCUCCGGCGAGCUCGUGCCCAUACUCAAGGACGCCGGCGCGCUCAAUAAGAGGCAAUGGAUAUUGUCCCGUUACCAAAGGUGGUAUGUUCCCUAUCGAAACCAUCAUGCUUGUUAUGAGAAGCUCUGGUUUGUGAGAAGCUUAUACCCGAACCUGCCCCAAAUGGGACAAAAUUUUCACCACGGCAUGUUGAUGCAGCUCCAUGAUAGCAUGCCAAGUUUCAUGAAUUUCAGACGAGUUUUGUAUUUACUAGAAUUUAAAAACUAG